AUUGAACGCUGGCGGCAGGCCUAACACAUGCAAGUCGAGCGAGCGGCGGACUGGUGAGUAAUGUCUGGGAAACUGCCUGAUGGAGGGGGAUAACUACUGGAACCGGUAGCUACUACCGCUAACCAUCAGAUGUGCCCAGAUGGGAUUAGCUAGUUGGUGGGGUAAAGGCUCACCUAGGCGACGAUCCCUAGCUGGUCUGAGAGGAUGACCAGCCACACUGGGACUGAGACACGGCCCAGACUCCUACGGGAGGCAGCAGUGGGGAAUAUUGUGCAAUGGGCGCAAGUCUGAUGCAGCCAUGCCGCGUGUGUGAAGAAGGCCUUCGGGUUGUAAAGCACUUUCGGCGGGGAGGCGUUACUCGAAGAAGAAGCACCGGCUAACUCCGUGCCAGCAGCCGCGGUAAUAC
rnacentral:rRNA from 1 species